UGGCAGUAAGGACAAAAUGUGGAGAACGGUUCUGCUCGUAUGUCUGCUGUCAGCACUGCAACAACCAUCGUUCUGCGAUGACUUGAAAUUUCGAGAAUGUUCUCCAAGGAUGCCGACCAGGGUGUCAAACUGGAGCAGCACCUAUUGCGUGUGCAAUUCGACGUACUGUGACGAUGCACCACGAAUAUCAAGGCCCUCUGGUAGUUUCAGAUCGUAUGUACUAAUUUCGACGAGCAAAGACGGUCUGAGAUUCAGCAUUUCGUCGGGGCGCUUCAGAAGGUCUGACGCUGCUCCGGGUAUCAAACCUGACGCAAGUAUCACAGUCGAUCCCUCUGUGACAUAUCAAGAUAUUUUUGGCUUUGGUGCUGCUGCAACAGACGCUACUGGAAUAAACGUAAAUUCCUUGCCCAAAGCGGCUCAAAACGAGUUUAUGAGGUCAUACUUUUCCGAGGAUGGGCUGGAGUACACGAUAAUCCGGGUUCCAAUGGCGGGCACUGACUUUUCCACCAGGCCUUACAGCUACGCAAUGGUCGAGAAUGACACCCUUCUCGAGUACUUUGCACUCGCUGAGGAAGACUACCGCUACAAGAUCCCGUUUAUCCGGAGAGCAAUGGGGCUCAGCAAGCGCCCCAUCAACCUGCUCGCUUCGCCUUGGAGCCCAUCGCCAUGGAUGAAAGUACGGCCAACAUGGAUAGGCUCUAAUAGUCUGAAACGUAAAUACUGGUACACGUGGGCCUUCUAUUUCGCAAAGUUCUUCAAGGAAUACCAAGACCAGGGUCUCAACUUCUGGGCCUUGACCCCUCAGAAUGAACCGUUGAAUGCUUUUGGUGCCCUUCCCAUAAACUCAAUGGAAUGGACGGCGGAGGAGCAGCGUGAUUGGGUAGUCAAUUUCCUCGUGCCUGUACUCAAGAAGACUGGCUUCGAUAACAUCGAUAUUAUAUUGGUUGACGGGAUGAGGCACCUGCUUCCUGAAUGGCCACAGGUUUUCAUGAACGACUCUGCGACGCGAAAACUAUUCGCAGGAACAGGCGUGCAUUGGUAUCUGGACCACUCUUACUCGGCGGACAGACUGGACGACACCCAUCAUAUGUUUCCGGAGAAAUUUAUCAUUUACACCGAGUCGUGUCCAGACUACGAUGAAGAUUUGGGCUCUUGGUACAGAGCCGAGCAGUUCGCACUCAGCAUCAUCGACACAUUAAAUCGCUGGGUUGUCUCAUGGCUGGAUUGGAACAUGGCGUUGGAUGAGCGCGGCGGUCCCAACUGGAAUCGAAAUUUUAUGGGAGCUGGUGUGAUCGUGAAUGCUUCAGCGGGAGAAUUCUACAAGCAGCCCACCUUCUAUACACUAGGCCAUUUUUCAAAUAUGCGCAGUUCCGUACGGAUAAUAAGACCCAGCAUUCGUUGUCGAUCAGAUACGUCCCUCCCGGCAGCGUAAGAAUUGGUACAUCAAACGAGGGACCAUUUGAAAUAAAAACGGUGGCUUUUCGGAGACCCGACAACUCAACGGCGAUUGUAUUUUUGAAUACGCAUGAUUCCGAGAGGAUUAUUUCCGUGUCGGAUAUCACGAAGGGGGCGAUUGAGUUCAGUAUUCCCGGUAAAUCGAUACACACUCUAAUUUACUGGUAGAUUGGCGAGUGGAAUAUGGUUUCGCAACCGCAAGUCGUUUUAAACCGGAAAUAACCGAAAACAAGAUUGUUAUACACCUCGUGUUGUGAAUUGA